UACAAAACGGUUACAUAGUUUGAAAGAACAAAUGAAUAGAAAGAAAGGAAAACAACUUAUCAGUAACUAGUUAAUAAGUGAAGAUUAAUGUUAAGUGCAUGGUUAGUAUAUAUAGUUAAAGUUAAUAUUACAUAACUAAAAUAACGUAUCAGUGACUAGUUAAUAAGUGAAGAUUAAUGUUAAGUGCAUGGUUAGUAUAUAUAGUUAAGGUUAAUAUUACAUAACUAAAAUAACUCAGAAAGAAAGAAAGAAAGAUUUAUUAUGCACAUGAUAUUAGUAUUUACAAAUUAUCUGUUGAGAUUAUAGAACUUAAGAAUUAUUACAUAAUGAUGUUAUUAUAAAUUUAGAUUGGAUGUGCGCAGUAUAGGCUAGAUCUAAUAUUAGCAUUAAGGACAGGGUUAAGUUGAGAAAUUAACGAUGGAUGUGCGCAGGGCUAGAUCUAAUAUUAGCAUUAAGGACAAGGUUAAGUUGAGAAAUUAAUAGGCUUUCACGGAUAUAAGAAGAUCCCAUGUUUGGCUUUAAAGUUAUUUGCUGGGCUCUGCUCUUUAUCUUUAAACUAAUAUGAAUGAACACGUUUUGUAAUUGCAUGGCUUUCUAUCACAAAAGUGACCAGUGUUUAUGAUUCGUUCUUUAGAAAUAUAAUUUCUGUAGUUCUCAUAAUCAACCGAUCACAAAGCCAGUUCAUAUAUAGGUAGGGACCGACGAUGUUACUGUAAUAUAUCUUUAAUAAUUGGUUGAUUUUACUAACGAUGAUUUGAUGUUAAAGCUGUUGAUCUGUAUUAAAUCUUGACAUUUAUUUUAAGCUGCUUUUUUAAACUUUUCAAAAUGAUUUUUUCGCCAAUGAUUAAAAAAUGCUUGUCAUGAUCACAUUCGUAAUAAUAUCGAUGAAGUAAAUAUCAAUUCUAUGAAUAGCACUUUUUUGAACGUAGAGCUUUCCAUGGGCGGAUGUCUUUACAAAGCGGUGCCUAGCACCUCCCUAGAUAAGUCCAGCACCACCCUAAAAAAUUUACUUGACCAUACAUUUUCUGCUUUUCGAAUAGCGAUUAGGGGAACUCCUAUACUGGUAACAUGUUAGCGCGUGUCGUUUCUUGAAACGAUGUAAUUCAUUUGUGAGCUCGCGACAAAAUAAUGAGAAUGAUUUAGUUAAAUAUCAUGGUUAAAUACGUAAACAUGUCGAGGUUGUUAUAGAGCCAUAUUUUCGUAUAUACUGUACUUUAACAAUGAACAAGUAAAUUUACUGUAGUGUGCUACAGUAACUGUCUAGUUCGCAUACGUGCAGAUAAAAAGCCAAUAUCAAC